rnacentral:rRNA from 2 species
GACGAACCGUGCGAACGUUGUUCGGAAUCACUGGGCUUAAAGGGCGCGUAGGCGGAGGGUGUAGUCGGUGGUGAAAUCCUCCAGCUUAACUGGAGAAUGGCCUCCGAUACUGACUCUCUCGAGGGAGGUAGGGGCAUGUGGAACUCAGGGUGGAGCGGUGAAAUGCGUAGAUAUCCUGAGGAACGCCGGUGGCGAAAGCGACGUGCUGGACCUCUUCUGACGCUGAGGCGCGAAAGCCAGGGGAGCAAACGGG